UCAGGGACGAGAUCCAACGCAUCAAAGCUGGGAAUCCUGAUAUAAGCCACAGAGAGGCCUUUAGUGCAGCUGCAAAGAAUUGGGCCCAUUUCCCUCACAUACACUUCGGACUCAUGCCUGAUCAUCAACCCGUGAAGAAAGCCAAUGUGCGCCAGGAAGGAGAAGAGGUGCUUAUGAAAGAAGGAUAUUUGGGUCCCACAAACGUCGGUAUAUCUCCCUUUUAACUAUUAAGCGAUCAGUGUCUGUAAUUGUUAGGGUUUCUGCUGCUAGCUGCUGGUUUGUGAUGAAGAUAUAUAUAAAUAGCUGACUCGUUUGUUGUGUUAUCGUUGUUACUUUGUUUGUUGUAGUGUUAUAUAAUUAAGGUGGUUAUUAUGUUAAAUAUGAAGAGGAUGGACUCUGAUGUGAAUGAAGCCUAGUGACUACUGUAAUUGUUUUGAACAUCCAUGAAGGCUCACG